rnacentral:rRNA from 1 species
UACGAAGGUGGCUAGCGUUGUUCGGAAUUACUGGGCGUAAAGCGCGCGUAGGCGGGUUUCUAAGUCAGGUGUGAAAUCCCGGGGCUCAACCCCGGAACUGCCUUUGAAACUGGAUGCCUGGAGUCCGGGAGAGGUGCGUGGAAUACCGAGUGUAGAGGUGAAAUUCGUAGAUAUUCGGUGGAACACCAGUGGCGAAGGCGGCGCACUGGACCGGUACUGACGCUGAGGUGCGAAAGUGUGGGGAGCAAACAGG